ACCUUCGUGAUGCAGUGGUCAGCACGCUGGGCGCGUAUUCCAGAGGUCCGUGGUUCGAGUCCCAGUGAAGGCG
rnacentral:tRNA from 1 species